rnacentral:rRNA from 1 species
CAAGUCGAGUGCGCGUGCCGUAGCAAUACGGCAUGGCGCACGGCGCACGGGUGCGUAACACGUGGGCAAUCUGCCCUUCGAUGGGGAAUAACUCCGGGAAACCGGAGCUAAUUCCGCAUAACAUUCCUUGGACUUCGGUUCGAGGACUCAAAGCCGUAAGGCGUCGAAGGAGGAGCCCGCGCCCGAUUAGCUAGUUGGUAGGGUAACGGCCUACCAAGGCUUUGAUCGGUAGCUGGUCUGAGAGGAUGGCCAGCCACACUGGAACUGAGACACGGUCCAGACUCCUACGGGAGGCAGCAGUGGGGAAUCUUGCGCAAUGGGCGAAAGCCUGACGCAGCGACGCCGCGUGGGGGAUGAAGCAUCUCGGUGUGUAAACCCCUUUCGACUGGGACGAAUGCCUCGCAAGAGGAGUGACGGUACCAGUAGAAGAAGCCCCGGCUAACUACGUGCCAGCAGCCGCGGUAAGACGUAGGGGGCCAGCGUUGUUCGGAAUUACUGGGUGUAAAGGGUUCGUAGGCGGUGCGGCAAGUCGGGAGUGAAAUUUAUGGGCUUAACCCAGAAGCUGCUUCCGAAACUGCUGUGCUUGAGUGUGGGAGAGGCGCGUGGAAUUGCAGGUGUAGCGGUGAAAUGCGUAGAUAUCUGCAGGAACACCCGUGGCGAAAGCGGCGCGCUGGACCACAACUGACGCUGAGGAACGAAAGCUAGGGGAGCAAACAGGAUUAGAUACCCUGGUAGUCCUAGCCCUAAACGAUCAGGACUUGGGGUGCCACCCGUUCGGGUGUCGUCCCGGAGCUAACGCGUUAAGUCCUGCACCUGGGGAGUACGGUCGCAAGACUGAAACUCAAAGGAAUUGACGGGGGCCCGCACAAGCGGUGGAACAUGUGGUUCAAUU